UGCGCUGCGCCCCUAUGGAAUGUGGUUAAUGCUGCGGAGGAACAAUGAUCGCGACCAACUCAGCGAGGGGCUGCCGGCCCUCCGACACAACAGCGUGGAGCAGGGGGGGUGUAGGUCAACAUGAGGCCCGGGGGACAUAUGGCGGCCCAAGAAAGCUUUUAAUCCGGCCGCCUGUGACAACUCAGCUUUUAUUUCUAGACGACAUCAACAACCGCAGUUGUGACAAAGUGCCGUGCAUAAAUCAUAAUAAAAAAACAAUCGAGCAACAUUUAAAUUGCACUUUAGCAUACAGGGGAAGCGGAGUUUUAUUCAUCAUAGAUAUCCCUGGCUGGCAUGCUGAUUUGUUUGACAUUUUUAUUUCCUCAACCAAAGCAAAGAGUGUAAAAAUAUCACAUAAGAUUCCAUUAGGUUUCCAAAUAAAUACAACAAAUCAUUAAAUGUAAACAAACACCUUUUUUUUUUUACAGCCAAGAUCCUUUAGGCACAUUUAGAAGGAACAGUUUAAUUCUUCUUCUCGGCCAGCCAGCUUCGUGUGGGGUGAAGCUGGGUUGUAACAUAACACGCAAAUGGCUAAAGUUGGAUAGCUGUGAUAUUCUGCACUCAAUAAAAUACCAAGGCCAAAACAUUGCAAAAGUGCAAUUGGAUUAGCUUGAUGCAAAUAGGGAGGAAAGUGUAAAAAAAA